UUUCUAAAGGAAUCGAUGUAUUUGCCGAUACAAAAGAAAAAGAAAGUUUAGGAAAAAGCGUCACCGCAGCAAAAAGCGCAAUAUCCCAAGUUUUAAUCUCGCGAAUAUUCAUGGCAGUUCCCGGGCUAACAAUUCCGCCAAUUGUCAUGAACACACUUUCAAAAAAAAAUUUUUUACAGCGACAUCCUUCACUGGCCACUCCCAUUUCCCUUGGAGUUACCGGCAUUUCAAUACUAUUUGCAACGCCACUGUGCUGCGCUUUGUUUCCGCAGAAAGCAAAGAUAGACAUAAACAAAGUUGAGUCAGAAAUUAAAGAGAAAGCUUCCGGAAAAAAGUUACAGUUUGUUUAUUAUAACAAAGGGCUAUAACCUUUUUUUCUGUGCAGCGGCAACUAAAUUUACACACUAAUUCAAUAAAA